GAGGCCGUCAGCAUCUCUGUCUGAGGCGUGCCGUGCAGACUGCCAGCUUGGGAUCUGCCAGCCUCUGACCGUAUGACCACCUCCUCACGUGUUACCACCGUGGUGUCAUCUCCUGUGAACUUUCGCCAGAGAUGAGCCAAGACAAAUGCAGUGUCCUUCAAUUUCUACAACUUUGAACUGCAAACCUCUACACAAGGAAAAGUAAAAUAGAAACAUCAGAAGACAAGGCAAUAAAAUGUCCCCAAAACUACCACCUCCC